GUGCUCGCUUCGGCAGCACAUAUACUAAAAUUGGAACGAUACAGAGAAGAUUAGCAUGGCCCCUGCGCAAGGAUGAUACGCAAAGAUGUUAAUAGGAAAGAAAGCCAU